rnacentral:rRNA from 1 species
UUCGUGUGAACAGUGGUUGAUCACGAGUUAGUCGGUCCUAAGUUCAAGGCGAAAGCCGAAAAUUUUCAAGUAAAAAUUGUUAUUAUAUAUAUAUAUUGUUAAUUGUUAAAAACUUGAAUAAUUUUGAACGAAAGGGAAUACGGUUCCAAUUCCGUAACCUGUUGAGUAUCCGUUUGUUAUUAAAUAUGGGCCUCGUGCUCAUCCUGGCAACAGGAACGACCAUAAAGAAGCCGUCGAGAGAUAUCGGAAGAGUUUUCUUUUCUGUUUUAUAGCCGUACUACCAUGGAAGUCUUUCGCAGAGAGAUAUGGUAGAUGGGCUAGAAGAGCAUGACAUAUACUGUUGUGUCGAUAUUUUCUCCUCGGACCUUGAAAAUUUAUGGUGGGGAUACGCAAACUUCUCAACAGGCCGUACCAAUAUCCGCAGCUGGUCUCCAAGGUGAAGAGUCUCUAGUCGAUAGAAUA